UAUGAUGAGAAUCUUUUGAUUAGCUCUAGAUCAAGAGCUGCAGUUCUGUUGCAGCGAUGAGCGACACAUUGCAUGUAUUAGCUGAAUG
rnacentral:snoRNA from 1 species